UGUAAUUACAAUAUAAAAGAAAUGGUGAUCUGGUAUAAAUGGAAUACCUUGAAAUGAUGCUUACUGAGGACAUUGAGUUGAAGUAGGCUGAACAUCUGAUCUGCAGCCACAGCUAACAGCACUGAGAGAUCAGAGUAAUGGAUACCUGCUUCCUUAUCUGACUUGGAGGCAGAAUUAAGAAGCCAAGGAUCUACAGUAUUGCACAUAAUGGCAAGGUGAGGUGAACUCCAGAUAGAGGCUGGCUGAGUCUAGGCAAGAUGCCCGGAGAAAGGGCCAGGCAGAGAUUUGGAGUCUGCUGUUGCAGGAAUUAACCUGAAGCUGAGUCAGCCAUUAAGUAAUCAUCCUCACCAAACCAGGAGAGGUGAUCUCCAGUUACAAAGUCCUCAGAUUUCAACCCCAAGGUCAAAGAACUGCUCUGGUAUAUGUGGUACCUGGGAUUGAAUCACCCAGGUAUCUGGUGUGCGAAGUCUUCACUCUACCCACAGAGCCAUAGUCAUGGUCAUGUAAUGUUUUAAAAGUGAAUAAAAAUCAAUAUCUAGUA